AUGGGUCUGGUGUUUUUUUUAAAAAAAGAGUGGGGCUGCAGGGGUGGCCACGGAGGGCCGUGGGGUGUCGCUUUCUACCACCCUAGGGACCACCCCCCCUCCGGUCCAGCACACUUCAGGAAGGAGCCUACUCAGGGCUCCUUAGCAGCAGGAGAAGCUGCUGCCAGAGGGGGGGGGGGGGACCUGCUGUUGCCGGUACGGGGCCACCCGGCAGCAGCCCCCAAUCCCUCCAGCCCUCCCCAAGGAAAAGCCAGAGGGCAGGGGCGAGGCGCCCACCCCCACCAGCCAAAGGGGUGCCCUGGAGAGGCUUCUGUGGGGCAGCCCAAAGGGAGAGCCCCUCCCUCAAGGAACGCCCCACCCUGCCCCAGGGGCCGGCCGGAGGGAGAGCCCCCCCUGUGCGCCCAGGCGGCACCACAGCGGUGUGACCUCAGUCUGUGUCCGCGCUGGUGCCCCCCCCCCAAGGUGCCAGGUGUGGGCCAGCGGGCAGCUCAGGUGCAGUGGCGGCGGCAGCUGGUGGCAGCGACCGGGGUGGGGCUGUUGGGGGCGGGGCGGAGGGCGCGCCCGGGACCUGAUCCGUUGCCUCUGUUGCUGCUCCGGAAAGAGUCCUCAGUACAGCCGCUUCUCAUAACUGCAGAAGGGGUGGGGGGGCGCAGUGGGAGGGGGAGAGAGAACAAAAGGGUGGGUCACCUUGCCUCCCCACCUCCACACACAGUGUGUGUGUGUGUGUGUGCGCAUGUGCAUGUAGGUCCUGCCUCCUCUAAUCCCAGAAGCCCACGUGGCACAGCGCUGAGCUCAAGCGUGGGAGAAGUGGGUUCGAAUUCUGACUGUGCCUUGCCACAAGAGAAAUCCCAACCUAAACUGGCCUGGUUUGGAUGGGUUUGUGAGAGAUCUGGACGCCAGCGGAAAGGCCACGCCUGGUUUAUCUCUGCGAAGUCACCUUGGGACAUCUUCAGACCGGUUCUGAGCUGGCGAACCGAUUGGGGGGGGGCUCCAAAGCCCCGAAUGGGUGACCAAAGCAGGUCACGGGACCCACGGGCAGCCCUAGUUUGA
rnacentral:lncRNA from 1 species